UACGUAGGGUGCGAGCGUUGUCCGGAAUUAUUGGGCGUAAAGAGCUCGUAGGCGGUCUGUCGCGUCGGUCGUGAAAACUUGGGGCUUAACCCUGAGCUUGCGGUCGAUACGGGCAUGACUGGAGUUCGGCAGGGGAGACUGGAAUUCCUGGUGUAGCGGUGAAAUGCGCAGAUAUCAGGAGGAACACCGGUGGCGAAGGCGGGUCUCUGGGCCGAGUACUGACGCUGAGGAGCGAAAGCGUGGGGAGCGAACAGG
rnacentral:rRNA from 1 species